UACGUAGGGGGCAAGCGUUUGUCCGGAUUUAUUGGGCGUAAAGAGCGUGUAGGCGGUUUGGUAGGUCCGUUGUGAAAACUCGAGGCUCAACCUCGAGACGCCGAUGGAAACCAUCAGACUAGAGUCCGGAAGAGGAGAGUGGAAUUCCUGGUGUAGCGGUGAAAUGCGCAGAUAUCAGGAAGGAACACCCGAGUGAGCGGAGC
rnacentral:rRNA from 1 species